GGUGUUUCAGUCACAUCACAUGAACAGCUCUCUUCGACACUUUCUCCAAAUGAAUCCAUGCAGCCUGGCUGAUCUGGGAGAGAUUUUGGGCAUUUGCAAGGUUUUGAGUCAUGAAGUGUGAUCACUCUGCGAUCUGACAGCGGUCGAUGAGGCUGGAUUGGCGUGGAGGUGGAUUUCUGGGAAGUCUUGAUGUAAGAAGUUCAACUCCAGCAGCUGCUUUUGUAAUGGAAGAGCAAUCAGAACAGGCGUAGCAGCCCUUUUUGCUGCUUUCACGGAUGAGGAACGCUCCAUCUGGCUUCCCAAGCAGCAGCUCCUCCGCCUGCGUCCUGUUCAGGUCCCCGACAAACCAGCUCUUCUCAUCGUAGUGGGAACAUUCUGGACUGUGUUCACUUCAGAAAAUACCAGACAACAUGCACAUGGAUGACAGAAGAGGCAGCGACAGGGGAAUUCCACGACGCACAGGGGGAGGAGAAUGAGGACAGCAGACGAUAUUCAAUAUGGUGUUAUGUGUGCGUGCAUAUAUGAGUGAUUUCUCUUUGUGCAGUAACAUGAUCAUUACUCACUGGCCCAGUGAGUGUCACUUAUCACUUCACUCACUGGCCCAUGCUAUAAUGUGUCACUGUUAACACUGAACCUAAUGACCCAAACCCUACUGUGUGCUGCUACAGACACACAGACUGGAUAGAGAAGCCACCUCCUAUCCAUUUUAAUGAAGUGAUUGUGAAAAAUGCUUUUUUUCUCUCUUUAGUGUCUAUGUAAGAUUAAAUAUCCUUGUUGCCCUUGCUAUCUACGGCAUCCUUAAAAAAAAACAAACAAACACCUGUUAGUAUGUAAUGUAUAUGGAUGAAGUUUGAUAGCCUAUUUCUAUAAA